UACAUGGGGUGCAAACGUUGCUCGGAAUUAUUGGGCGUAAAGCGCACGUAGGCGGUUCGUUAAGUCGGAUGUGAAAGCCCUCGGCUCAACUGAGGAAGUGCACCCGAAACUGGCGAGCUUGAGUACGAAAGAGGAUCGCGGAAUUCCCGGUGUAGAGGUGAAAUUCGUAGAUAUCGGGAGGAACACCUGUGGCGAAGGCGCCUUGCUGGCCGAUUUCUGACGCUGAGGCGCGAAAAGCGUGGGGGAGCAAACAGG
rnacentral:rRNA from 1 species